AUUGAACGCUGGCGGCAUGCCUUACACAUGCAAGUCGAACGGCAGCACGGGGGCAACCCUGGUGGCGAGUGGCGAACGGGUGAGUAAUGCAUCGGAACGUGUCCUCUUGUGGGGGAUAACCAGUCGAAAGAUUGGCUAAUACCGCAUGAGAUCGAGAGAUGGAAAGCGGGGGACCCGAGGGCAACUUCGGGCCUCGCGCGAGAGGAGCGGCCGAUGCCGGAUAGCUAGUUGGUGGGGUAAAAGCCUACCAAGGCGACGAUCCGUAGCUGGUCUGAGAGGACGACCAGCCACACUGGGACUGAGACACGGCCCAGACUCCUACGGGAGGCAGCAGUGGGAAUUUUGGACAAUGGGCGCAAGCCUGAUCCAGCCAUGCCGCGUGCGGGAAGAAGGCC
rnacentral:rRNA from 1 species